GGCAAGUCUCAUACGACCAGCUCCUACAUAAUCCCCCAGGAUGGGAACAUAGCAAGGGUCUGUGGUUGUAGCGGUGCGAUAUGAGUAGCUUGCC
rnacentral:SRP_RNA from 1 species